rnacentral:rRNA from 1 species
UACAGAGGUCUCAAGCGUUGUUCGGAUUCAUUGGGCGUAAAGGGUGCGGUAGGCGGCGCGGUAAGUCGGGUGUGAAAUCUCGGAGCUUAACUCCGAAACUGCAUUCGAUACUGCCGUGCUUGAGGACUGGAGAGGAGACUGGAAUUCGAUGGUGUAGCAGUGAAAUGCGUAGAGAUCAUGAGGAAGACCAGUGGCGAAGGCGGGUCUCUGGACAGUUCCUGACACUGAGACACGAAGGCCAGGGAGCAAACGGG